GAGUUUGAACCUGGCUCAGGAUGAACGCUGGCGGCGUGCCUAAUACAUGCAAGUCGAGCGAACCACUUCGGUGGUGAGCGGCGAACGGGUGAGUAACACGUAGGUGAUCUGCCCAUCAGACGGGGACAACGAUUGGAAACGAUCGCUAAUACCGGAUAGGACGAAAGUUUAAAGGUGCUUCUGGCACCGCUGAUGGAUGAGCCUGCGGCGCAUUAGCUAGUUGGUAGGGUAAAGGCCUACCAAGGCGACGAUGCGUAGCCGACCUGAGAGGGUGAACGGCCACACUGGGACUGAGACACGGCCCAGACUCCUACGGGAGGCAGCAGUAGGGAAUCUUCGGCAAUGGGCGAAAGCCUGACCGAGCAACGCCGCGUGAAUGAUGAAGGCCUUCGGGUUGUAAAAUUCUGUUAUAAGGGAAGAACGACUUUAGUAGGAAAUGGCUAGAGUGUGACGGUACCUUAUGAGAAAGCCACGGCUAACUACGUGCCAGCAGCCGCGGUAAUACGUAGGUGGCGAGCGUUAUCCGGAAUUAUUGGGCGUAAAGAGCGCGCAGGUGGUUGAUUAAGUCUGAUGUGAAAGCCCACGGCUUAACCGUGGAGGGUCAUUGGAAACUGGUCGACUUGAGUGCAGAAGA
rnacentral:rRNA from 1 species